UGAUGAAGUAAACUAAGUUUAAGUUAAAAGGUUCAUACCCUUUCUAUGGCUAUGCCCUUCAUCAA
rnacentral:tRNA from 1 species